rnacentral:tRNA from 1 species
AGCAACAUAGCUCAGGGGCAGAGCGACGGGCUCAUAACAUGACACCCGUAGGUCCCUGGAUCGAAACCAGGUGUUGCUA